rnacentral:rRNA from 1 species
UACGGGGGGGGCAAGCGUUGUUCGGAAUUACUGGGCGUAAAGGGCUCGUAGGCGGCCAACUAAGUCGGACGUGAAAUCCCUCGGCUUAACCGGGGAACUGCGUCCGAUACUGGAUGGCUGGAGGUUGGGAGAGGGAUGCGGAAUUCCAGGUGUAGCGGUGAAAUGACGUAGAUAUCUGGAGGAACACCGGUGGCGAAGGCGGCAUCUGGACCAAUUGUGACGCUGAGGAGCGAAAGCCGGGGAGCAAA